AAACUUUCAACAACGGAUCUUUUGGUUCUGGCAUCGAUGAAGAACGCAGCGAAAUGCGAUAAGUAAUGUGAAUUGCAGAAUUCAGUGAAUCAUCGAAUCUUUGAACGCACAUUGCGCCCGCCAGUAUUCUGGCGGGCAUGCCUGUCCGAGCGUCAUUU
rnacentral:rRNA from 1 species